AAAAGUGAAAGGAAAGUCACUCAGUUGUGUCCGACUCUUCGCGACCCCAUGGACUGCAGCCCACCAGGCUCCUCCAUCCACGGGAUUCUCCAGGCAAGAGUACUGGAGUGGGGUGCCAUGCCUUCUUUGAAUAUCCUCCUGGACAUCACCAUAGAUCACAGAACCUUCAACUCUUCCUUGAAGAACCAGACUGGCCACUAGACACCGAGGGCACCAUUCCAUCACAAUGGCCAACCCAGCUCACAGCCUUUCCACUCAAAUACCGUUCACUCAUUCAUUGAGCAAGCAUGGAGUCCUUCGUUGGGAGGAGUGCUGGCCUGGCCUCUGACUCCCAGGAACCCGGUCUGGGCCGCAGGAACCCAGAGUGUGUGGCUUCCAGCCAGUCCCACCCCAACAAGGCGGGAGCUUCAGUCUUGCUGUCCCCACACGGAGCCAGGUAGACACGUCUGAGCACCUUCGCUUUGCUGUCCCCACACGGAGCCAGCUAGACACGUCUGAGCACCUUCGCGCAGGCUCUGUGGCCCCCUCGCCUCCCACACGACCUCACCUCUGUAUGCUGAUGCGGCCAGCAGGCCCCACCCGCCCAGCCACCUUCAUUUGCUCGAGCUGGCAGCCGGGCGGGGCUAGGGCCUAUCUGGCCGUCGGAUUAAUAUCCAGAUAUUAAGUAAACAAUAAAUUAGCAAAACUACAAGAAAAUUUUACAGCCCUUUGCAUUUGGCAAUCAUUGAGUGUUAAUUAGAAAUUCAUUACAAUUAAAACCCUGCCUAAACAGGGCCUGCGCGCCUUAAUUACAUCUGAUUUUUAAUUCAGAAUACGUGUUUACACAGUAAGCGCUACGUACCCCAUGAUUAUCCCCAAUCCUCUUUAUACUGUACUAAUUAUGUAAAUUAAACCUAAUUAACUGACGAAAACUGCCGUUAAUUCAACUGGUAAAAGAUAUGUGCUUGCGGAGGAGGCGCGGCCGCAGCCCAAGACAGAGCUGGAAUGGGCACGGGGACGCCGGGCUACGUGGACGCGACGCCAGGGACUCAGAGGCAGCAUGGACCCGGCGGGGGCUGGUGGGGUGCACGCCAGGCGCGUCCCUGAUCCUGGCCCUCCGACCCUGGUGCACCCAGCAGUGGGUAAAAUAGAAUCCGCGCCAGUGGGGGUCAGAAAGGCCAAGGGCACUGACUCGAGCGCACUCCCCGGGCGCUGGACUGAGCUGCAGGACUCAGAGCCCCCUGUGAGCAAGAGGGAUGCCGCCCUCCCCCGUCUGAGCCUGAGUUCAAGUCCCAGCGCUGCCCCACACUGGCUGCCUGCAUCUGAGCAAGUCACCUGGCUUUGUUAGGCCUGUUUUCCUCUUCGCGGAGUGUUGCGAGGGCGACCCUAAAAGCUCCUCGUGAGCUGCGCGGUACUUAUCUUCCGUUCAUUAAACGAGGCCCUCCAAGCAGCGUGCAAUAUUUGGGGUCUGGGAGAUCAGCCUGCAUCCCUUAUUGACUGAGGAGCCUGGGUGAGUUGGCUUCCACUGCCUGACCCUCGAUUUCCUACCUGUAAAAUGGGAAUAAAUGAUCUUUACCUAUUCC